rnacentral:rRNA from 1 species
GAUGAACGCUGGCGGCGUGCCUAAUACAUGCAAGUCGAGCGAACAGACGAGGAGCUUGCUCCUCUGACGUUAGCGGCGGACGGGUGAGUAACACGUGGAUAACCUACCUAUAAGACUGGGAUAACUUCGGGAAACCGGAGCUAAUACCGGAUAAUAUAUUGAACCGCAUGGUUCAAUAGUGAAAGACGGUUUUGCUGUCACUUAUAGAUGGAUCCGCGCCGCAUUAGCUAGUUGGUAAGGUAACGGCUUACCAAGGCGACGAUGCGUAGCCGACCUGAGAGGGUGAUCGGCCACACGGGAACUGGGACACGGUCCAGACUCCUACGGGAGGCAGCAGUAGGGAAUCUUCCGCAAUGGGCGAAAGCCUGACGGAGCAACGCCGCGUGAGUGAUGAAGGUCUUCGGAUCGUAAAACUCUGUUAUUAGGGAAGAACAAAUGUGUAAGUAACUAUGCACGUCUUGACGGUACCUAAUCAGAAAGCCACGGCUAACUACGUG